CAGAGUACUACUAGCAAUAGCUUAAAACUCAAAGGACUUGGCGGUGCUUUAUACCCCUCUAGAGGAGCCUGUCCUAUAAUCGAUAAACCCCGAUAAACCUCACCAGCCCUUGCCAAUUCAGCCUAUAUACCGCCAUCCUCAGCAAACCCUAAAAAGGAACUGUAGUAAGCACAACCAUAAGACAUAAAAACGUUAGGUCAAGGUGUAGCCCAUGAGCUGGGAAGAGAUGGGCUACAUUUUCUUAUCAAAGAACACUUAAAAUCACAUACGGAAGCCCCCAUGAAACAAAGGGCAGAAGGUGGAUUUAGUAGUAAACCAAGAACAAAGAGCUUGGUUGAAUUAGGCCAUGAAGCACGCACACACCGCC
rnacentral:rRNA from 1 species